UCACGACCAGCACGCUGCGGAACUUGUCGAACAGCAUGAGCAGCUGGGAGCGCCGUGUGUUCUCGUUGUACAUGAUCUCCUCCAGGUGGUGGCGGCCGCGGAAGUAGUGCAGGAGCCUGGGGCGAGGGGCGGGCAGUGACACCUCACGGGCCCUA